rnacentral:rRNA from 1 species
UACAGAGGUCUCAAGCGUUGUUCGGAUUCAUUGGGCGUAAAGGGUGCGUAGGUGGUUUGGUAAGUCGGAUGUGAAAUCCCGGGGCUCAAACCCCGGAACUGCAUUCGAUACUGCUGGACUGGAGUCCUGGAGAGGAGAUCGGAAUUUACGGUGUAGCAGUGAAAUGCGUAGAUAUCGUAAGGAAGACCAGUGGCGAAGGCGGAUCUCUGGACAGGAACUGACACUGAGGCACGAAGGCCAGGGGAGCAAACGGGG